GCUAGGAUAGCUCAGUAGGUUAGAGCGUGGUGCUGAUAAAGCCAAGGUUGCAGGUUCAAUCCGCAUAUGGGACAGCU